GCUGUGUCUAAAAACUUAGUUUAAACUAACUUAAAGGUGAAGAGGCCUUUAUAAGAAAGAAGGACGACAAGACCCUAUGAAGCUUUAUCUUAUUAGGGAUUUGAAAGAUCCUUAUACGAUUUUGAUGGGAGAUCAGUAAAAAUAAGUCUUUUACCAUUAUUUUUAUCUUACAAGUGCUUCCUAAUUUUAUAUGUGUGACUAGCUACUCUAGGGAUAACAGCGCAAUUUCUCCCGAAAGAUGGUAUUGGAGGGGAAGAUUGCGACCUCGAUGUUGGC
rnacentral:rRNA from 1 species